GUGCUCACUUCUACAGCACAUAUACUAAAAUUGGAACGAUACAGAGAAGAUUAGCAUGGCCCCUGCACAAGGAUGACACACAAAUUCGUGAAGCGUUCCAUAUUUUU
ensembl:snRNA U6 U6 spliceosomal RNA